rnacentral:lncRNA from 2 species
UGGGCCAAGCUCAUUCUAAGAGAGGCCCACGGACAGAAGCAGAAAUGCGGGAACCCUAAAAGGAAGGGGAAGCCGGAGCCCCCAUCCCAAUCUCGAUUCGCCACUCCCAUCCCCGCCGGCCGCCGCUGGCCCCUUUCCCCUUCUCCGACCGGACCGCGCUCCUCAGAUCCAUCGCAGGGCAGGGCAGGACGCGCAAUCCACUGCGGUCGCAUCUGUUUGCUGGAGAUGGGCCUGUCGCGUCGGGCUAAGAAUCUCAUCGUCGACGUCCCCUUCCAAGGCGCCAAAUGGCUACGCUGCGUCGAUCUGGCAGGCCAGCUGUUCGGUAACACCGCUACACCACCACCACCAACAACAAUCGCACAUGGAUCAGAGUCAGCAGCUGUGCAAGAAGACUACACCUCUCAGACACUGGUGUCCGACUCCUGUAAUCCCAAGAAGAAGGCAGCAGGCUUAAAGAUGGAGAGGAUUCGGCUUCCCAGACCCAUCCUCAAGUUUUGUUCUACACAUGGAUCCGACCAGAUUUCUCUCGACUGCUUCCCCCUUGUAGAUCGCAAGGUGGUAAUAGCGGACCACACCAGGCGUAUGUUCCUUUGUGACGCCGACACGCGCGCCGUGGUGAGUAUCCCAAACCUCCACAAGCCCAAGUCACGGCCCAUCUCUCUAUUCAUCCCAAGUACUGCUGAUGCCAAUGACCAUCCCAGCGUUGGCGGUGGCAGCCUCUAUGUCAUGGAGAGGGUUCCUGAGCCAGAGAAGGGCGAUGUGAAGCUGAGUGAUCAGUUUGAGGCCUUUGUGUGCAGCAACAUCUUUGAGGGCCCAUGGAACUGCCACCUCCUCCGGCCACCGCCAUUCGUCUCUGAUCGUACCUGCUGCUUCACCUACCCCAAGAUCACAUCCUAUGCAGUGGUCGGCUCUAACAUCUGCAUAUCCCACAACAGCUGCAACGCAACCUACUGCUUGGACACAGCGAGAAACACAUGGGAAGUCGGUAAUGGGAAUCUACCCUUGUAUGGCAAGGUUGUGUAUGUCCCUGAGCUCAAGCUCUGGUUUGGCUUCUCGACUGAGGCCAGGACCAUGUCGCCGUUGGCUGCUGCUGAUCUCUCCACCAUGGACUCCCACUCCCAGCCACAACUUAUUGGCGAUUGGAAGGAAUUUGACCCACCUAAGGGUUGGCUGGAAUCACAUGAUCCGCAGCUUGUCAACCUGGGCUCGGGCAGGUUCUGCAUUGCAAGAUUCUUCCGCAUUGUGUCUAUGGACGACGGUGAAAUAAUUGACAGGAUUGAAGUCUUCACCGGUGUGGAGGUGUUGCCGGUUGGACACGACGGCGAUGGCAGUGGAAAUACCAAACUUAAGCUUCGAAUGAAAAAGAACAAGUCGCUAUGCCACGUGUCUAAUGGCACCGUCAUCGCUGAUAUCUUCUGA